rnacentral:rRNA from 1 species
AGAGUUUGAUCCUGGCUCAGAAUGAACGUUGGCGGCGUGGAUUAGGCAUGCAAGUCGCGCGACAAGGUUUCUUUAGCUUGCUAUUGAAACUAGAGGAGCGGCGAAAGGGAGAGUAACGCGUGGAUACCUGCCCUUGGCUCCGGGAUAGCGUCGGGAAACUGGCGGUAAUACCGGAUAAUAUCCCCGGAUCAAAGGUGUGAUUCCGGCCGAGGAUGGGUCCGCGUCCUAUUAGGUUGUUGGUGAGGUAAUGGCUCACCAAGCCAAAGAUGGGUACCGGGUGUGAGAGCAUGGCCCGGCUCACUGGGACUGAGACACUGCCCAGACACCUACGGGUGGCUGCAGUCGAGAAUCUUCCGCAAUGGGCGCAAGCCUGACGGAGCGACGCCGCGUGCGGGAUGAAGGCCUUCGGGUUGUAAACCGCUGUCAGUAGGGAGCAAAUGCAUCAGGGCAAUCUCUGGUGUUUGAGCGAUCUGCAGAGGAAGUCCGGGCUAAGUACGUGCCAGCAGCCGCGGUAACACGUACCGGACGAACGUUAUUCGGAAUCACUGGGCUUAAAGAGUCCGUAGGCGGCUCGGUAGGUGAGGUGUGAAAUCCCACGGCUCAACCGUGGAACUGCGCUUCAAACCACCGGGCUUGAGGGAGAUAGAGGUGAGCGGAACUGAUGGUGGAGCGGUGAAAUGCGUUGAUAUCAUCAGGAAC